rnacentral:misc_RNA from 1 species
GUAGGUGAACCUGCGGAAGGAUCAUUACUGAGUGAGGGCCCCUCGGGGUCCAACCUCCCACCCGUGUUUAACGAACCUUGUUGCUUCGGCGGGCCCGCCUCACGGCCGCCGGGGGGCAUCUGCCCCCGGGCCCGCGCCCGCCGAAGCCACCUGUGAACGCUGUCUGAAGUAUGCAGUCUGAGACAAUUAUUAAAUUAAUUAAAACUUUCAACAACGGAUCUCUUGGUUCCG